UACGGAGGGGGCUAGCGUUGUUCGGAAUUACUGGGCGUAAAGCGCACGUAGGCGGCUUUGUAAGUUAGAGGUGAAAGCCCAGGGCUUAACCCUGGAAUUGCCUUUAAGACUGCAUCGCUAGAAUCGUGGAGAGGUGAGUGGAACUGCGAGUGUAGAGGUGAAAUUCGUAGAUAUUCGCAAGAACACCAGUGGCGAAGGCGGCUCACUGGUCCGGUACUGACGCUGAGGUGCGAAAGCGUGGGGAGCAAACAGG
rnacentral:rRNA from 1 species